rnacentral:lncRNA from 13 species
AUGUGGGGUAGGUGCAACAUAAGACAAGAAAAGGGUAAGGGUUUGAGUGAGAGGACUAACUGGUGUCUCCAAGUGAUCACACACCUCUCCAAUGUGUGCACAGUCUUCAAAUUGAAGGUGUUGGUGGUAAUCUCCUGUCUACCCGCUCAGAACCCCCAGAUAGAGACUGUCCCCAUGAGAUGAGAUGUGCUGUCCAUUCCCAUUCAACAUCCAUGAUGCUCUUCAGCCCCUCUCAGCCCCAUUCAGUCCCAGUCAGUUCCCUGCCUUACGGUCCCCUUUGAAAUGACCUUAUCUCUGUCUUCCAGGCUGACCCUGGCUAGAGGGCCUUUUCCACAUUAAACAGAGAGAACCUAUUAUCCUACUGUUACUGGAGACAGUCAGUCUGUCAAUCAAACACAGGCCAUGGACCAUCAUGAGACAGUCUGGUUUGCUAACUGUACUCUCUAAGCCUUUCUCAGUGGUAGCAUGUGACAUGUGUAUGUAACAGAUGUGAAACGGCUAGCUUAGUUAGCGUGGGCGCUAAAUAGCGUUUCAAUCAGUGACGUCACUUGCUCUGAGACCUUGAAGUAGUAGUUCCCCUUGCUCUGCAAGGGCCGCGGCUUUUGUGGCGCGAUGGGUAACGAUGCUUCGAGGGUGACUGUUGAUGUGUGCAGAAGGUCCCUGGUUCGCGCCCGGGUAUGGGCGAGGGGACGGUUUAAAAUUAAACUGUUACAUUGAUGCUGUUGACCCGGAUUACUGGUUGCUGCGGAAAAAGGAGGAAGGUCAAAAGGGGGGUGAGUGUAACAGAUGUGAAACGGCUAGCUUAGUUAGCGUGGGCGCUAAAUAGCGUUUCAAUCAGUGACGUCACUUGCUCUGAGACCUUGAAGUAGUAGUUCCCCUUGCUCUGCUAGGGCCGCGGCUUUUGUGGAGCGAUGGGUAACGAUGCUUCGAGGGUGACUGUUGAUGUGUGCAGAAGGUCCCUGGUUCGCGCCCGGGUAUGGGCGAGGGGACGGUCUAAAAUUAUACUGUUACAUGUACAUGAGCUGCAUCACCACGGCCAACACGUCUAGCUAGAGAGACGUCUCGUGUGUUUGCGUAGGCAGGUGCCAUAGGCAUCUUGGCAACCGUGAUUUCGUGUCACUGAUGUAGACACAUUACCCCAUGGCGUCAAAGUGGAAUUGUGUUUUCAUAUUUGUUUACAAAUUAAUAAAACAUGAAAAGCUGAAAUGUCUUGAGUCAGUAAGUAUUCAACCCCUUUGUUAUGGCAAGCCUAAAUACGUUCAGGAGUAAACAUGUGCUUAACAUGUCACAUAGUAAGUUGCAUGGACUCACACUGUGUGCAAUAAUAGUGAUUAACAUGAUUUUUGAAUGACUACCUCAUCUCUGUUCACACAUACCAUUCAUUAUCUGUAAGUGAAUUUCAAGCACAUAUUCAAGCACA